CCUACGGGUGGCAGCAGUGGGGAAUAUUGCGCAAUGGGCGAAAGCCUGACGCAGCGACGCCGCGUGAAGGAUGAAGGUCUUCGGAUCGUAAACCUCUUUCGGUAGGGAAGAACGGUCAUUGUUCUAAUCAGCAGUGAAUUGACGGUACCUGCAAAGGAAGCACCGGCUAACUCCGUGCCAGCAGCCGCGGUAAUACGGAGGGUGCGAGCGUUAAUCGGAAUUACUGGGCGUAAAGCGCUCGUAGGCGGUAUGUCAAGUCAGGUGUGAAAUCCCCGCGCUUAACGUGGGAAUUGCCUUUGAAACUGGCAAACUGGAGUGUGUUAGAGGGGAGUGGAAUUCGAGGUGUAGCGGUGAAAUGCGUAGAUAUCGGGAGGAACAGCAGUGGCGAAGGCGACUAUCUGGCACAUAACUGACGCUGAGGAGCGAAAGCGUGGGUAGCAAACAGGAUUAGAUACCCUGGUAGUC
rnacentral:rRNA from 1 species